AAAGUCGUAACAAGGUUUCCGUAGGUGAACCUGCGGAAGGAUCAUUAACACGUAUCCAUACGUAUUAUAUACCAAACCGUGAACUCGUUUGAAAAUAACACUGAAGAAGGGGGAAGCAAGCAAUUGCAACUUCUUUCUUGUACCUUAUUUCAACUUAUAAACCACUUGUAACCAAUUGUACUAAACAAACUAAGAAAGUGUAGUCUGUGUGUGUCUAAACAACAUGCGCUUCUUCGCUUUUUGUAUUUACGAAACGUAAAAACAAUUCUUAGCAACGGAUAUCUUGGUUCUC
rnacentral:misc_RNA from 1 species